rnacentral:rRNA from 1 species
UACGGAGGAUCCGAGCGUUAUCCGGAUUUAUUGGGUUUAAAGGGUGCGUAGGCGGUUAGAUAAGUUAGAGGUGAAAUGUCGGGGCUCAACCCCGAAACUGCCUCUAAUACUGUUGGACUAGAGAAUAGUUGCGGUAGGCGGAAUGUAUGGUGUAGCGGUGAAAUGCUUAGAGAUCAUACAGAACACCGAUUGCGAAGGCAGCUUACCAAACUAUAUCUGACGUUGAGGCACGAAAGCGUGGGUAGCAAACAGG